GAUGUUUCUAACUCUCUAUCUCUCUCCCUUUCUCUCUGUAAAAAAUCAAUAAAAUAUAUUUUAAAAAAAAAUCAAAGAGAAAAAAAGACUGGGGGGUGGAGAGAAGAACAGAAUACCCAAGAACUGUGCGACAACUUUAAAAGGGCUACAUUUGCAUAAUGUAUGGAAUACCAAAUGAAGAAAAAGAGAAAAGAACAGAAGAAAUAUUUGAAGCAGUCAUGACUGAGAACUUCCCCCAAAUCAAUGUCAAAUGCCAAAUCAAACCACUGAUCUAGGAAGCUCAGAGAACACCAAGGAAGGUAAAUGCCCAAAAACCCACACCUAAGCAUAUCCUAUCCAAACUGCAUAGAAAUCAAAGAUGCAAAAAAUCUUGCAAGAAGCCAGAGGACAAAACACCCUGUCUAUAGAAGAUUAAAGGUAGGAAUUAAUUUGACUUCUCAGAAACCAUGCAAGCAAGAAGACAGUGGAGUGAAAUAUUUGAAGUGUGGAGAGAAAAACCCACCUCGAGUUCUGUACCUUGUGAAAUGAUCCUUCAAAAGUGAAGAAGGAAAAAAGACUUUCUCAGACAAACAAAAAUUGAGGAUAUUUGUUGCAAGUAGAUCUGGCUUGCAAGAAAUGUUAAAAGAAGUUCUUCAGAGCGAAGUCAAAUCUACAUUUUAAAAAAGGGAGGGCAUUGGAGAAGGAAUAAGUAAAGCCACACCCUAGAACAAGACAAGAUCUACCAACCAGUUGGCUGCCCUCAACUGUGGUCCAAAAACACUAAGGACAAUUCCAGAAAUGAAGUUUUACAUUGCGUGCUGUUCCGAGUAACGUGAUGAAAUCUCCCGCCCUCCGCCUCCGUCCUGCCGAGUGCGUGAUUCAUCCCUUUGUCCGGCGUGUCUGCGCCGUCUGUGCUACCGGCCGUUAGUCAGUAGCUGUCUCCACUGUCAGAUCGGCUGUCACAGUAUCGCUGUGCUCGUUCCCAAGUCACCCCUGUUUUCCUUAAUAAUGGUCCCAAAGGGUAGGAGUAGUGAGGCUGGCUCGGAAUGUGCCAAAUUAAAAGUAGAACUGGGCCUUAGCCGGUUUGGCUCAGUGGGUAGAGCGGCGGCAGGCAGACCAAAGGGUCCUGGGUUCAGUUCUGGUCAAGGGCACGUACCUUGGUUGCAGGCUCCUCCUC